UUCUCCAGUGCCACGACACGCAGUCUGUUUCUAGCCAAGGAGAAUGGGGCCCAGAGGCGUUACCUUCCCCAACCCACUGUACAUUAUCAGGUUAAGCUGACACCCCUCCCUGCCUGGAGCACACAAUGUCUGACAGUCACACACACAGAGGCACAGCGAUCCCAUGGUGAGGCCUUCCAACCUGCUUUUCUCAAGGUGAGGCCUCUGAGGCAUAGAGAAACUAAGUAACUCACCCAAGGAGUGGCUAAACGUCACUGGAUUAACUUAAUUUCGGUAUCUUACAGCAAUGGCUUGAACUGUGGCCAGGUAGAGAAUGGCAAGAUCAUCGAGGUCCUGAGACAGUGUCAAUCCGGUGACCUGCAGGGAUGAAGGGAAGAAAAGAAGAAGAUGGUCAAAAGAAGCUGCCAUGGAUAUAGACAGUUCCCAUGAAAUACAUUCAGAUGUGUUUUCUUGCCAAAACAAGUUCAUAUGCAAAUCCCCUUUUUGUGAGCAGAACGUGAAAUGCCUACUAAAUUGUUUAAUCUCCAGACCUGGGAAAAACUAUCCCUUCCUCAAAGAAAAUACCUUGACCUUAGAUUAAACAAAAACAAAACAAAAUAAAUACCACAGGAAGAUUA